AUCAUGAUUGUGUCCCCGUCUGCCCCCCACGUCUGUGCUGCUCCUCGCCGUCCGCGGCGGUCCGAUGGUUGCGCUCCGUGAGGUGGAAGCUCAACGGGGAGAAGACGGGCGGGGCAUGGAUGAGGAGGGAGAGGGGUGCACGAGGAGAGAGCGAGGCAGGAGGCGGCGGCGGGUCGGACGGACUGAUCGUGAUGGAGGCGAUCGAGGCUGGUCGAUAGGUUGCCAACAGCGAGCGCUGGGGUGUUGGGGUUGUGUUCCAUGGCCACUCCCUUCCCUGGAGAAAACAUAGAUUAGAGAGAGAAGCAGAAGGGAAAGCCUGAGAGAAGAGGAGUAGACGGCUGGCCUGCGUGAGGCGGCUCUCACGGCAGAGGUUGGAGGAGGCACCUCAGGAAGCCGGUUGCUGGAGAGGAGAAAAAGGGAGCUCCUCUUGGUCCUCCUUCCCCCGACGA
rnacentral:lncRNA from 1 species